rnacentral:lncRNA from 1 species
UCACAAACACUUACCUGCCUUUGUGCUACAGGAUGAACGGAAUGGCAUGUUUUCUGAUUUCCUCCUCAUUCUGGUUCACUGGCUCCUGGUCUGCUUUCCUAUUGAAACCUUGUGGAAGAGUCAAUGUCAGCUUUUAUCUCUGUGGUGAACACAUCCUGGAAGCAGGCAAGAAUGUCACCUGCCAUGAAGGACACCGUGGCACUUGCACCAUCCCCUUCCAUACAGGUCUGUGGCCUUGGUGGAGAAUUACAGAGGUCAGAGUCAGACACAAACAACCAAAGUAUUUAUGA